GUGUUGGUCACACUGGCGGCGCCGCUGUUCCUGGUGUGGAGCGCGUGGCGCCUGCUCACGGGCCUGCUGGCGUUGCCACACCACGUGUACCAGGUGGGAGACGACAUGGUCUUCCACUUCUGCCAGAGGCUCAUGAUCGCGCUCCUGGAAGGCGUCGUCGGCGUUAAGGUGUUGUUCUAUGGAGACAUCGGAGACAUUGUGCAGAAGAAAGAGCGGGCUUUCUACAUCGUCAACCACCAAAGCUCCUUCGACUGGAUUGCCGUGAGCCUGCUGGCCGAACGCACGGGAUGCACGGGUAACCUGCG
rnacentral:lncRNA from 1 species